CAACUUUCAACAACGGAUCUCUUGGUUCUGGCAUCGAUGAAGAGCGCAGCGAAAUGCGAUACGUAGUGUGAAUUGCAGAAUUCAGUGAAUCAUCGAAUCUUUGAACGCACAUUGCGCCCUUUGGUAUUCCAAAGGGCAUGCCUGUUCGAGCGUCAUUU
rnacentral:rRNA from 2 species